UAAUCAAAUUUUCAUGGACCCAAGACCAGCUUAUAAGACAAGAUAACCAACUCGAAGAACCAUGACAUGUAAAGAAUUAACAAAAAAAUAUAUUCCAUUUCAUAGCAAAAGAAGCCAACUUUUUUUGUUUAUCAGACAAGACCCAAGUUCAAUUUCCACGUGACAACCUAGUAAACUGUAUCGUAGCUGGAAGAUAUAAGACACUAACUAGAGAUUUACAGAUAUGUACCGGCUUAUCGAGGUUCGUACACGUGGCAGUCAUCUUUUUACUGUGUCGUGGCUUUGCCCUAUCAGGUGAUAAAAGAUAAAUGGGUCCCGAAGUAGGCUCCAAGUGAUGAUAAGUAGUAUUAAAGCUGGUCUGAAAUUACAAAUCAUAUUUGAUUCAAAAAAAAAAGCUGUUCUGAAAUAUGAUUUGUAAAUUGAUAUAAGAAUAAAACUUAUAUAGUAAAAAAUGUAAGUUUACGUGGUAAGUUUGCAGUAAAAUUAGAGUUUCUAUUUUUUAUGGUAAUAUUUUUGCUGUAUAAGUUGCAUUAUGCAUUUCUUAAUAAAAUACAUGAAUAUAUGAACAUA